CCGUGAUUUCAUCUGAUAAAUCAGCUCGGAGAAAAGAGAAGAUGGAGUCUGGAAAAUAAGCCAGGUGCUGAGGAUCGGGGGCAUUCAGCAUCAGCUGCGCACCCAGAAGAUUGCUGGUUUCUUCCCAGAGAGCUGAAAUCCCAUUCUUCUCUCUGUCCUAAUGAAGCUCAGAGGUGCCCCUUUAUCUCCCCUAAUAAUGAACUGAUGUUCCUGCAAAUGGAGCUGGAAACCUGCAGCAGGGUCAGAGGCAAAGCUGAGCUUGGGUCCUGGGCAAUUCGGUCUUGGAGCAGCUUUUAGCCUUCCCCGGGUUCAGAGCACAAAGUUAUGAGAUGAUUUUAAUGAAGAUGUAUGGAGCCAGAGUCUCCAUUUCAGCGGUUCCUGCUGUCCCCAGGAUUGAAAUUCAGGAAGGAAAACACCGGGGCAGCGCACUGCGAUAGGAGAGAAAUGCCUUUAGUGCCAGAUGUGUGCGCUGCCUCUCUCUGUGUUUUGGAGUGUGUAUUUAGGGAAUUAUGGCUCCUGAGUAGCCAAAACUCCCUCCGAACCUCUGGAUCCGUGCUGUUUGCAGUGAACCAAGAAUAAUGCUCAUCAUUUCACCCUUUUCAACAGAGAGCCAGAAUUCUGUGUGAGUGCUGGCAUCCUCCUGGGCGUGGAUCGCUGGGAAAGAACCCACACCUCUUCAGAUGGGAAGAUUUCCAUCCCAGCGACGUGGAUCUGGGUCUCUUGGAGUUUUGGCUCAAGAUUGGCUGAUUCAGUUAAACUUCAUGUUGUUCCUCGGAGCUGUGGUGGAAAAGCUGUUUGGAACAGCAGCCUUAAGCUGUGCUUCAAUCCUCCAGAGCGAUCCAAACCAGGUGAGAAAGCAACUCAUCCCAGAGAUUUUGUUGAGAACUCGAGGUGACUGCUGUGUUUUCCUGGGCAUAUCAUAUCCUGGGUGCCACUAAGUUACUCAUAAUUGAGUGCAGACUGCGGGGGGAAUUAUUUACAGCUUUGUCCUGCCAGAGUGACAAAAAGCAGCCUCGAGGUGCUGCUUGCUCUGCUCAGCUCCACACUUCCAAUAUUUCCUCAAGGCUAUUGCUCCUGUCUGCUGCCACAGACCUACGUCAGCAUUUCCAUACCAUUACCUUCAGCGAGGAGCAUUCCCUUAAUUCCUGCCUUGUUUAGUCCUGGACUAUAAAUAAAACCAACAGCUCAGGAAAGCGAGCCUUGCAGAGCCCUGCCCUGGAGGCUACUCAAAACCUGAAAGCUUCAUUGGUUUGCCAGUCUUUACAGACCAACAUCUAAUCUAUAAUAACCAUAAUGCCAGCUGGAAAUCCAUAAUUACGGCCCACUCCAAGCUGUGGCACAGCAGAUGAGGAAUAACGCCGAGCUCUCCGCUGGAGGAAGCGCACCCAGAGCGUUUGUCAGGCCAUUUUCUCUGUGUGAUUCUUAUCCUGGCUCUCCCUCCCUCUCUCUCCCCCAACUCCCCAGCCAGCACGAUGAGAAAAUAAAUACGGAUAUUUAUGCCCAUUUCUGGGAAUGCAGUUGUCUCAGCACAUACAGCACCCAGGAGGGCUGUAAGAAAUAAAUUAGUGAUCUACGGCGUGGAUGUGCCAGGCAGGAUGCAUGUCUGUUUGACUGCUGCUAAGGAGCUAAAUAUUUCAGAUGAGGAAGGUUUAUGGCGCUGUGAAUGUCACGGAUAUGUCAAAGGAACAAUAAGCUUGUGGAGCUUUUAGGGGUUUAUUCUUCACCCUGCUGCUGGGAGCGGGUGCAGAGGGCUGUGGGCUCUGCACAGAACCUCUCCAGAAGCCAUCAACACAACACUGAGGUGAUAGAAAUCUGUAGAAUUCCUGGAAUAUCAAAAUUCAAGCCAGUGUGGGCAGUAGGUGAGGGAAGGAGGGAAUUCUGUCCCCAGCUCAGGUGAGACCUGGGCUCCAGCACAGGAGGGACCUGGAGCUGCUGGAGAGAUCCAGAGGAGGCUCCAGGAUGAUCCCAGGGAUGGAGCAGCUCUGCUGGGAGGAAAGGCUGGAGAGCUGGGAUUGUUCACCUGGAGAGGAGAAGCCUUGGGGUGACCUCAUGGUGGCCUUGCAGGGCCUGAAGGAGACAACAAGAAAGAUGGAGAAGGAUUUUUUACAAGGGUCUGGAGUAGCAGGAAAAGGAGGAAUGGCUUCACAGCGCCAAAAUAGGUUUAGAUGGGAGACUGGGCAGGAAUUGGUCCAUGGGGGUGGUGAGGCCCUGGCACAGGGUGCCCAGAGCAGCUGUGGUGCCCCUGGAUCCCUGGAAGUGCCCAAGGCUAGGCUGAAGCAGCCUGGGACAGUGGAAGGUGUCCCUGCCAUGGCAAGGGUGGAGCUGGAUGGGCUUUAAAUUUAAAUUCCAAACCUUUCCAUGGUUCUAUGAGUAUCCCAAGCUGGAAUGGACCUACAUGGAUCACAGGGUUGGCUGUGCAAGCAUCCCAUCCCGUGCCCCGGAGCAUUUCCCAAACCUUCCCUGAAUUCUCCAUCUCUGGGGCUCCAGAAGGAGCCAGGCCAGUUUCCAGGAGCUGAGCUCCUGCCGUUGUACAACACCUUGCAGCUGGUGAGGAGACAACUCCUGGGAUGUGCAAGGAAGGCAGAGCUGGCAUUGUGCUCGUUAGAGAAGGGCCUGGAAGCCUCCUCUGGCCACCAUCUGCUGCCUUGUUUGUGGGGUUUGAUCAUCCCUCCCUGAAUGGCUCCGCUGAAACUCCCUGAUUAAUCUCCGGCAUCCGAAUCUCCUCGGCAGCCUGAAGGAUGGCAGGAUUCAGCUCGUUAAAAUAAAACCCCGUGAAUGUGCAAAUUCUCCUCAAAAGAGACCGGGAUUCAUGAAGCAGCUCGGGACAAAAGUGGGGAAAUGAGCUGUGGCUUUUUUGUGCUGCCUAUUUACAAACACAAGCUCCUUGAUAAAAGCUGGGAAUAUCUCUUGGAGAUGAGUGGUGACUAAAAGAGCCCCGUGAUCGUUGCUUAGAGGACUUGUGGAAGGCACACAAUGCCUGAAGAUGAUUUUAAUGAGUGACACCAAUUUCAGGGAGCUGUUAGGAGGCUUUUCUUUCUAGAUGGUGGAAGGAAUAUUUCACUGACAGGUGUUUUAAAGUAUUUCCUGUACAAUGAGUCGGCUCAAUUUGUCCAUAAUGAAUAAAAUGAAAUUUAGGGAUCAUUUAGGGGUUAUUAAUGGCUGUGAUAUAUUAAUUAUGCAGCAAACUUUAAUUGUCUCCUCCUUAAAAAAGCAGUUCAAUUAGAGUCCUUGGUGUUUUUAAUAGAGUGUUGAAAUAGUUUUUCAAACAACAAAGCAUUAAGUCUCGUUACGGAUCCAUUUCUCUUUUCAUGGGAAAUGAUUUGACCAUAACUGAUCCUGACAGGGAAUUUAAAUAGUCUCAACCCAGCCUGGCAACAAACAUAGAAUCCUAAUGUGUGCAGCCUCCAGCCCAUGGAAUUGUCCUAAAGUCACUGAGGUUGCACAGGAUGUAUGUGACAGUUCUGGGUUUCUGUGGGAUCUUCAGCUGAUUUCUGUCUGGAGAAAGUGAAAUAUAUUCUCUCUUGUUUCUCCUGGCCAUUCUUUGAACCCGUGUCUGUUAAACAAUUUGAAAACAUGCAAAUUUAUUUACUAUGUUCAAAGAAAUCUGUCU